rnacentral:rRNA from 1 species
GGGUUGUGAGGUUAAGCGACUAAGCGUACACGGUGGAUGCCCUGGCAGUCAGAGGCGAUGAAGGACGUGCUAAUCUGCGAUAAGCGUCGGUAAGGUGAUAUGAACCGUUAUAACCGGCGAUUUCCGAAUGGGGAAACCCAGUGUGUUUCGACACACUAUCAUUAACUGAAUCCAUAGGUUAAUGAGGCGAACCGGGGGAACUGAAACAUCUAAGUACCCCGAGGAAAAGAAAUCAACCGAGAUUCCCCCAGUAGCGGCGAGCGAACGGGGAGCAGCCCAGAGCCUGAAUCAGUGUGUGUGUUAGUGGAAGCGUCUGGAAAGGCGCGCGAUACAGGGUGACAGCCCCGUACACAAAAAUGCACAUGCUGUGAGCUCGAUGAGUAGGGCGGGACACGUGGUAUCCUGUCUGAAUAUGGGGGGACCAUCCUCCAAGGCUAAAUACUCCUGACUGACCGAUAGUGAACCAGUACCGUGAGGGAAAGGCGAAAAGAACCCCGGCGAGGGGAGUGAAAAAGAACCUGAAACCGUGUACGUACAAGCAGUGGGAGCACGCUUAGGCGUGUGACUGCGUACCUUUUGUAUAAUGGGUCAGCGACUUAUAUUCUGUAGCAAGGUUAACCGAAUAGGGGAGCCGAAGGGAAACCGAGUCUUAACUGGGCGUUAAGUUGCAGGGUAUAGACCCGAAACCCGGUGAUCUAGCCAUGGGCAGGUUGAAGGUUGGGUAACACUAACUGGAGGACCGAACCGACUAAUGUUGAAAAAUUAGCGGAUGACUUGUGGCUGGGGGUGAAAGGCCAAUCAAACCGGGAGAUAGCUGGUUCUCCCCGAAAGCUAUUUAGGUAGCGCCUCGUGAAUUCAUCUCCGGGGGUAGAGCACUGUUUCGGCAAGGGGGUCAUCCCGACUUACCAACCCGAUGCAAACUGCGAAUACCGGAGAAUGUUAUCACGGGAGACACACGGCGGGUGCUAACGUCCGUCGUGAAGAGGGAAACAACCCAGACCGCCAGCUAAGGUCCCAAAGUCAUGGUUAAGUGGGAAACGAUGUGGGAAGGCCCAGACAGCCAGGAUGUUGGCUUAGAAGCAGCCAUCAUUUAAAGAAAGCGUAAUAGCUCACUGGUCGAGUCGGCCUGCGCGGAAGAUGUAACGGGGCUAAACCAUGCACCGAAGCUGCGGCAGCGACGCUUAUGCGUUGUUGGGUAGGGGAGCGUUCUGUAAGCCUGCGAAGGUGUGCUGUGAGGCAUGCUGGAGGUAUCAGAAGUGCGAAUGCUGACAUAAGUAACGAUAAAGCGGGUGAAAAGCCCGCUCGCCGGAAGACCAAGGGUUCCUGUCCAACGUUAAUCGGGGCAGGGUGAGUCGACCCCUAAGGCGAGGCCGAAAGGCGUAGUCGAUGGGAAACAGGUUAAUAUUCCUGUACUUGGUGUUACUGCGAAGGGGGGACGGAGAAGGCUAUGUUGGCCGGGCGACGGUUGUCCCGGUUUAAGCGUGUAGGCUGGUUUUCCAGGCAAAUCCGGAAAAUCAAGGCUGAGGCGUGAUGACGAGGCACUACGGUGCUGAAGCAACAAAUGCCCUGCUUCCAGGAAAAGCCUCUAAGCAUCAGGUAACAUCAAAUCGUACCCCAAACCGACACAGGUGGUCAGGUAGAGAAUACCAAGGCGCUUGAGAGAACUCGGGUGAAGGAACUAGGCAAAAUGGUGCCGUAACUUCGGGAGAAGGCACGCUGAUAUGUAGGUGAGGUCCCUCGCGGAUGGAGCUGAAAUCAGUCGAAGAUACCAGCUGGCUGCAACUGUUUAUUAAAAACACAGCACUGUGCAAACACGAAAGUGGACGUAUACGGUGUGACGCCUGCCCGGUGCCGGAAGGUUAAUUGAUGGGGUUAGCGCAAGCGAAGCUCUUGAUCGAAGCCCCGGUAAACGGCGGCCGUAACUAUAACGGUCCUAAGGUAGCGAAAUUCCUUGUCGGGUAAGUUCCGACCUGCACGAAUGGCGUAAUGAUGGCCAGGCUGUCUCCACCCGAGACUCAGUGAAAUUGAACUCGCUGUGAAGAUGCAGUGUACCCGCGGCAAGACGGAAAGACCCCGUGAACCUUUACUAUAGCUUGACACUGAACAUUGAGCCUUGAUGUGUAGGAUAGGUGGGAGGCUUUGAAGUGUGGACGCCAGUCUGCAUGGAGCCGACCUUGAAAUACCACCCUUUAAUGUUUGAUGUUCUAACGUUGACCCGUAAUCCGGGUUGCGGACAGUGUCUGGUGGGUAGUUUGACUGGGGCGGUCUCCUCCUAAAGAGUAACGGAGGAGCACGAAGGUUGGCUAAUCCUGGUCGGACAUCAGGAGGUUAGUGCAAUGGCAUAAGCCAGCUUGACUGCGAGCGUGACGGCGCGAGCAGGUGCGAAAGCAGGUCAUAGUGAUCCGGUGGUUCUGAAUGGAAGGGCCAUCGCUCAACGGAUAAAAGGUACUCCGGGGAUAACAGGCUGAUACCGCCCAAGAGUUCAUAUCGACGGCGGUGUUUGGCACCUCGAUGUCGGCUCAUCACAUCCUGGGGCUGAAGUAGGUCCCAAGGGUAUGGCUGUUCGCCAUUUAAAGUGGUACGCGAGCUGGGUUUAGAACGUCGUGAGACAGUUCGGUCCCUAUCUGCCGUGGGCGCUGGAGAACUGAGGGGGGCUGCUCCUAGUACGAGAGGACCGGAGUGGACGCAUCACUGGUGUUCGGGUUGUCAUGCCAAUGGCACUGCCCGGUAGCUAAAUGCGGAAGAGAUAAGUGCUGAAAGCAUCUAAGCACGAAACUUGCCCCGAGAUGAGUUCUCCCUGACCCUUUAAGGGUCCUGAAGGAACGUUGAAGACGACGACGUUGAUAGGCCGGGUGUGUAAGCGCAGCGAUGCGUUGAGCUAACCGGUACUAAUGAACCGUGAGGCUUAACCUUACAACGCCGAAGGUGUUU